GACGAACGCUGGCGGCGUGCCUAACACAUGCAAGUCGAGGGUUUUAGUAGUAAUACGAAGAACACUGGCGCACGGGUGAGUAACGCGUAGAUCAUCUGCCCCUAACACUGACAUAACAGUUCUAACGGACUGCUAAUAUCAGAUGUGAUAAGCAAUUAUUAAAGGGUAACCGGUUAGGGAUGAGUCUGCGUCUGAUUAGGUAGUUGGUGAGGUAACGGCUCACCAAGCCUACGAUCAGUAACUGGUCUGAGAGGACGAACAGUCACACUGGAACUGAGACACGGUCCAGACUCCUACGGGAGGCAGCAGUGAGGAAUUUUGGACAAUGGGGGCAACCCUGAUCCAGCCAUUCCGCGUGAGUGAAGAAGGCCU
rnacentral:rRNA from 1 species